CUCGUAGGCGGUUCGUCGCGUCCGGUGUGAAAGUCCAUCGCUUAACGGUGGAUCCGCGCCGGGUACGGGCGGGCUUGAGUGCGGUAGGGGAGACUGGAAUUCCCGGUGUAACGGUGGGAUGUGUAGAUAUCGGGAAGAACACCAAUGGCGAAGGCAGGUCUCUGGGCCGUUACUGACGCUGAGGAGCGAAAGCGUGGGGAGCGAACA
rnacentral:rRNA from 1 species